rnacentral:miRNA from 1 species
UGAGCUCCUCGUCGUUGCGGAUGGCCAGCUGCAGGUGACGCGGG